GAUGAACGCUGGCGGCGUGCCUAAUACAUGCGAGUCGAGCGAACAGACGAGGAGCUUGCUCCUCUGACGUUAGCGGCGGACGGGUGAGUAACACGUGGAUAACCUACCUAUAAGACUGGGAUAACUUCGGGAAACCGGAGCUAAUACCGGAUAACAUGUUGAACCGCAUGGUUCAACAGUGAAAGACGGUCUUGCUGUCACUUAUAGAUGGAUCCGCGCCGCAUUAGCUAGUUGGUAAGGUAACGGCUUACCAAGGCAACGAUGCGUAGCCGACCUGAGAGGGUGAUCGGCCACACUGGAACUGAGACACGGUCCAGACUCCUACGGGAGGCAGCAGUAGGGAAUCUUCCGCAAUGGGCGAAAGCCUGACGGAGCAACGCCGCGUGAGUGAAGAAGGUCUUCGGAUCGUAAAACUCUGUUAUUAGGGAAGAACAAAUGUGUAAGUAACUAUGCACGUCUUGACGGUACCUAAUCAGAAAGCCACGGCUAACUACGUG
rnacentral:rRNA from 1 species